GCUCAUCGUUGCUCGUCGACCCCCAACGCGCCGUACACACGGCGUCACAACGCGACCUACUAGUCAGGACGGGCUUUCCCAUUU
rnacentral:rRNA from 1 species